UACAGAGGUCUCAAGCGUUGUUCGGAUUCAUUGGGCGUAAAGAGCUCGUAGGCGGCUUGUUGCGUCGACUGUGAAAACCCGCGGCUUAACCGCGGGCUUGCAGUUGAUACGGGCAGGCUAGAGUUCGGUAGGGGAGACUGGAAUUCCUGGUGUAGCGGUGAAAUGCGCAGAUAUCAGGAGGAACACCGGUGGCGAAGGCGCUCUGCUGGACCAUAACUGACACUCAGGGACGAAAGCUAGGGGAGCGAAUGGG
rnacentral:rRNA from 1 species